rnacentral:sRNA from 1 species
CCUCCCCACAUGCCCCCAAAACCCCAGGGACUGUUCCGCGGCUCUAGAUGGCCCAGUGGGGAGGGGCCGCCCUGUCGGCAUUGCUGUCUGAUGGCCUGAAGGGACCGCUUGGAGGGACACAUGCCUGGGGACAGUGGGCUCACAGAUGUCUUGCUGCUUUGCCACCGAGCCUCACAGCCAUCUGCUGACCUCUCAGAGCCCAGCAGGCCCCUGCCCGGGGGUUCGUGGAAUGCCCCUGGGGGUCUCAGACCCACUGCUCAGCUCUUGGCCAGGCUCUGUAUCUCUCUAGAUUGGAGGAUUCUGGCGGGAAGUCGGUGUGGCCUCCGAUCAAAGCCUGGUGCUGAUGGCCCCGAAGCGGGUGGAGGGCUUGUUCCUCACCUUGAGCGGGAGUAACCUGACCGUGAAGGUCGCAUAUAACAGCUCAGGAAGCUGUGAGAUAGAGAAGAUCGUCGGCUCAGAAAUAGACACUACGGGAAAAUUCGCUUUUCCUGCUUCUGUAGUGUCUCCAACCACUCAGGUGCUGGGACUGGGUGGGGGCAGGAUGGAGUUAGACCCUGCAGACCCUGGCCUUCGAGGUCCGUCCCCCUCAGAGGUCUCCCCCAACGCCAUGGCCGGCUCCUGAAGGCCACAGAGAGAUCCACGUGCUGGACACCGACUACGAGGGCUACGCCAUCCUGAGGGUGUCCCUGAUGUGGCGGGGCAGGAACUUUCGCGUCCUCAAGUACUUCAGUAAGCUUGGCCCUGGGGGGCUCUGCCCAGCUGCCGCCCUUCCAGGGACUGCCCGCCCAGCCCCCCUGUGCCCCACAGCUCGCAGCCUUGAGGACGAGGACCAGCUGGGGUUCUGGAAGUUUCGGGAGCUGACAGCAGACACUGGUCUCUACCUGGCGGCCCGGCCUGGGCGGUGUGCCGAGCUCCUGAAGGAGGAGUUCCUGCCUCAGACCACGAGGUUCAGAGCGCCCGCCCACCCUGGCCCCUCCUGGGCACCCUGCCCACCAGGUCACCUGCACCUGCUCUGAAUAAACUGUGAAGUCAA